GGGCGUAUAGCUCAGCGGUAGAGCACUGCAUUGACAUUGCAGGGGUCGCAAGUUCAAACCUUGCUACGCCCACCA
rnacentral:tRNA from 6 species